rnacentral:lncRNA from 10 species
AGCAGAAGGCCACACUGGCUGCUGUGCUGUUCUGGGCAUAGUCAGCAUGAUGAUUGCUUUGAGAGAUUUAGAAUUGGCAUUUCUUUAGCUGUUGCGCCUUCUUUCACACCAGCUGAACAACAGUUCUUAAAAUGUGGCCCAGAGACUCCUACAACCAUUUCAGGAGGUCUGCAAGGUUCCUGCCAUCAUGUUGCCCAGGCUAGUCUCAAAAUCCUGGGCUCAAGUGAUCUCCCACCUUGACCUCCUAAAGUGC